rnacentral:rRNA from 1 species
AGAACGAACGCUGGCGGCAUGCCUAAUACAUGCAAGUCGAACGAACACUUCGGUGUUAGUGGCGCACGGGUGCGUAACGCGUGGGAAUCUGCCCUUGGGUUCGGAAUAACAGUUGGAAACGACUGCUAAUACCGGAUGAUAUCGAAAGAUACAAAGAUUUAUCGCCCAGGGAUGAGCCCGCGUAGGAUUAGCUAGUUGGUGAGGUAAAGGCUACACCGAAGGCGACGAUCCCUAGCUGGUCUGAGAGGAUGAUCACGCCACACUGGGACUGGAACGACGACCGGCCCAGACCUCCUAACGGGAGGCAGCAGGUAACGGGAAUACGUGGAACAAGUGGGCG